rnacentral:rRNA from 1 species
UACGGAGGGGACUAGCGUUGUUCGGAAUUACUGGGCGUAAAGCGCGCGUAGGCGGAUUGGAAAGUUGGGGGUGAAAUCCCGGGGCUCAACCCCGGAACUGCCUUCAAAACUCCCAGUCUGGAGGUCGAGAGAGGUGAGUGGAAUUCCGAGUGUAGAGGUGAAAUUCGUAGAUAUUGGGAAGAACACCAGUGGCGAAGGCGGCUCACUGGCCCGUAACUGACGCUGAGGUGCGAAAGCGUGGGGAGCAAACAGG